rnacentral:lncRNA from 1 species
AGGCAGCGAGCAAUAUGACGUAGAAUCGAAACUAACAUAACAAGUCUAGAUAUGGGAUCAAGGUCAUGUCAUCUUGCCUGUGAUAUCCUCAGCUUGGAAUGGUUCUGGAUCGUCCUGCAAGUACUCUCCUGACUCCACGUAAUCGGUCUCCGCUCCCGGUGCUACCCAACACAAGAAUGACAGCCAAUGAACAGCAGCACCACAAAAUGCAACAAUCACAUGAUGCAUGAGAUGAAAGUUGAGCAUGCACCACUAUUUCUAACACUAGCACAAGCAAGAUAAACUACAACGAGUUCCUGGACAGAACUUUGCUCUAAACUAUUUGGACAUGCACGGAAAUGAUAUGGACAGAUGCAUCUCGUAAAAGCGGUGCAAAACCAUAUAAAGAACUUUGCAAACGGAGCUACGGAUCAACGGGAACCAACCAAACACGAUAUGAAGCCCUACGUGAAAGAUUCAUCACCACACACACAAUUGGCGCAAAUCUGGUGUUUCCAGGUUUUCAAGACAUAUAUUAACCCAACAUGAAUGAAAUGGAGCAAGGUAGAACACCCCAACAACAAUUAAACACAAACUUUGAACAAAAUGUCAAAACUACGCAAUCUGCCAAUUUCUGCAUCUUAGCUGUUUGUGAGCCACAUGCAACAUAGCUACAGGUCUUCAAACAAGACAAAUAAUAUAUGUGGAUGUUGCCAACCAAGAACACUACCAUCUCCAGCAAAAAUCACAGCAAAAGGAGUUAAACUCUAGAAGAUACAAGGCCACAAACUUUCCCAAAACCAUCAGUUCUCAGGGACUUAGUGAAAAUUUCUGCACCUGAGUUUCUGUUUCUGUUCUGAAGCCUUUUGACAGCAAUCAAAACACAAGCUACUGGACUCCAAAUGACUUGAAAAUUGACAGGAAGCUGCACAAACAUACCAGGUCCAAAGCACUAGCACUGAACUAAGUCCAGUUCUCAAUAUUCUGACCUGCACAACCUUAUCUACAGGGGAAGAAAAUGUUUUCAGCAUUCCAGACUUAGUGAAAUUUUCAGAGUUCAAAAUUCUGGAAUUUUUCCAGCCACAUGCCCACUUUGUCUAGGCAUAGUUUGCACACACAAGUUCCCAAGAGGUGUUUGACACCACUAUGGUAUUGAGCACAAACCCCUACAACUAACACUCUAAGAUCCAUGCCUUUGGGCUCCAUCUAUAUCAUGGAAACAAAGCCCAAACUUUCAACAAAGUGCAAAUGCAAUCCAUAAGGUAUGCUCCUAAAAUGACAAGUACAUAGGGGAGUUUCAUGUGCACAAUGACAAAGUGACAUGGGGGUUUGAACCCCAUGUUUGUGUCAUGCACAUCAACAACUCCAACACCACAAUUGCUCUCAAGCACUAGCAUCAAGCUCCACAUAAGAAAUCUUUAUCUAACAAGAGAGUAUGCACACCCCCCCACAUAUGGGCAUGUGAUGGUGCACACUCUCACAAGCAUCACUAGGAUCUUCCUAGUGUUCAUGUCACCAUCAAUAUGCAAUCUACCACCACAAACCACACCCUCACAUGCUAACAUAAAUAGCUAUCUAGAACCUCACUUCACCCCAAAACAUGUGAUGAGGGGGAGGCAUCCACACCCCACUAAACCAAUGCAAACAUCUAAGACUACAAGAUCCCUUAGACCACCUUAAACUCCCAAAGAUGGGCUCCACAAGAGUAGCUAGUGCAUCUUCUCCUUGAGGCACACACACACAAUUACCACACAUCACAAGUACCAUACCCACCAAGUGUUUACCAAGCUAGCAAUACCACCUCUACUUACUUGUAGGUGCACAACACACACACAUAGGGCCAUGUUCUCAACUACACUAGCAAGGAAUAAGAAGAUAAAACCCUCUUGCUGCCCAACACAAGGGAGGGAAAGUGCAAAAAAAAACGAAUAAAAUAAAUAGGCAGCAAAGGAAAGAAAGAAAAAUAAAAAAUAAAAAAUAGCAAAACCAUUCCAGGGUCCCUGGGAUUCGAACUAGGCACCUACUGGAUUACCAGUCACCAACAAACCACUGCACUAGCUGCGCUACUGGUGACAGGAACGCGACAGGAAACAGAUAACUCCCCUUGCUGGCUACCGUAUAGGAAAAGAAACUAAAAAUUGUGCCGAGAGGGGGGUUCGAACCCUGGAUCUCCCAUCAGGCGCACGCAUAUGACAGAGAGGUACUACCAUCAGGCUACGAACUGGAGUCUGGCUAAGACUAGCAAGUAAAGAAGAACUACACACGCCUCACGAGAAGCAUCCCGCCGGCGUCCGGAGCCGAGGACGUUGGCGGCGCCACUCCCGGCCACCACCGGCAGGGGAAACCGUCGGCGGGGGCCGCGGGACUCCCGGGGGAUCCAUUUUUGCCCUAAGCACGGGAGAAGGAGCACCCUUGGCUGCCUUGAACUGCAGCGGCGUUCCUGCUACGCUGCAGUUCGCCUGGGAGCACGGGACAGAGAGCUUGACGGGCAGCCCUGCCUGCGUCGCUACGCUGCACGGCCGGCGUGGAGCUCGUGCAUACGGCGCUGAGGGACGCGAGGAGAAGACCCGCACCUGCUGGGUGCCCACCUACGCGGGGAGGAAACCCUGUGCAAACUGCAAGCUCUUCUCUGAUGAUAUACGCCUACCGAGACCUAGGUGACACGACCCCAGCUGCCGGCGGCGAGGAGAGUUCCUCUGAUCAUGGCGCUGCUGCAGAGAGGGGGAGGAAGCCCUCCUCUGCACAGUACCUCCAUAACAACCCUACCCCACCCUGCACCACUCGCGACUACUGCACCCCCCCCACACUGCUAUCGGACAGAGAAAUGCACACACGCUGGAACGAGCCGGACCGCGGAGGCGGAAGGAAGGAGGACGAGGACGCGGCCUCACCUUGAGGAGAAGAGGGGCGUCGAUCGGGGAGGAGGAGCGUCGGAGAGGAAGAAGACGGCCAGACGAAGUCGUCCCGCCGAAGACCGAAGAAGGAGACGGACGCGGAUCGCCCGGUUCGUCCCGUUGACGAGGACGAGCUCGACGGGGGGGGGGGCGCUCCUCGGGGUCCUAGCGCCGGGAAUGGGACGCGGGGACUCACCCCGAGCCCCCGGACAUGGUGCCCAGUGCCGGAGACGACGGAUCGGCGGCUUGACGGGGGAGGCGCUGCACCCUCUCUCUCUGCUCACUCUCAGGACUUACCA